AUGGGGGGCUGUGUGGGCAAGGGUCGUAGCAUUGUGGAGGAAAAGCUUGAUUUCAAAGGUGGAAAUGUGCAUGUCAUAACAACCAAAGAGGACUGGGACCAGAAGAUUGAAGAAGCAAACAAGGAUGGGAAAAUAGUUGUGGCAAACUUCAGCGCUUCGUGGUGUGGGCCAUGCCGUGUCAUUGCACCUGUUUAUGCUGAGAUGUCCAAGACUUACCCUCAACUCAUGUUCUUGACAAUUGAUGUUGAUGACCUAAUGGAUUUCAGCUCAACAUGGGACAUCCGUGCAACCCCGACGUUCUUCUUCCUCAAAAACGGCCAGCAGAUCGACAAGCUCGUCGGCGCCAACAAACCUGAGCUCGAGAAGAAAGUACAAGCUCUUGGUGAUGGCAGUUGA
rnacentral:rRNA from 1 species